rnacentral:rRNA from 1 species
AGGCCUUGCGCUCUUUGAGCGGCCGAUGUCAGAUUAGCUAGUUGGUGAGGUAAAGGCUUACCAAGGCGACGAUCUGUAGCGGGUCUGAGAGGAUGAUCCGCCACACUGGAACUGAGACACGGUCCAGACUCCUACGGGAGGCAGCAGUGGGGAAUUUUGGACAAUGGGGCAACCCUGAUCCAGCCAUGCCGCGUGAGUGAAGAAGGCCUUCGGGUUGUAAAGCUCUUUCGGCCGGGAAGAAAUCGCAUGGGCCAAUACCCUGUGUGGAUGACGGUACCGGAAUAAGAAGCACCGUCUAACUACGUGCCAGCAGCCGCGGUAAUACGUAGGGUGCGAGCGUUAAUCGGAAUUACUGGGCGUAAAGCGUGCGCAGGCGGUUUUGUAAGACAGGCGUGAAAUCCCCGGGCUUAACCUGGGAACUGCGUUUGUGACUGCAAGGCUAGAGUACGGCAGAGGGGGGUGGAAUUCCACGUGUAGCAGUGAAAUGCGUAGAGAUGUGGAGGAACACCAAUGGCGAAGGCAGCCCCCUGGGUCGAUACUGACGCUCAUGCACGAAAGCGUGGGUAGCAAACAGGAUUAGAUACCCUGGUAGUCCACGCCCUAAACUAUGUCAACUAGGUGUUGGGUGGGUAAAACCAUUUAGUACCGUAGCUAACGCGUGAAGUUGACCGCCUGGGGAGUACGGCCGCAAGGUUAAAACUCAAAGGAAUUGACGGGGACCCGCACAAGCGGUGGAUGAUGUGGAUUAAUUCGAUGCAACGCGAAAAACCUUACCUACCCUUGACAUGCCAGGAACUUGCCAGAGAUGGCUUGGUGCCCGAAAGGGAGCCUGGACACAGGUGCUGCAUGGCUGUCGUCAGCUCGUGUCGUGAGAUGUUGGGUUAAGUCCCGCAACGAGCGCAACCCUUGUCGUUAAUUGCCAUCAUUUAGCUGGGCACUUUAACGAGACUGCCGGUGACAAACCGGAGGAAGGUGGGGAUGACGUCAAGUCCUCAUGGCCCUUAUGGGUAGGGCUUCACACGUCAUACAAUGGUCGGUACAAAGGGUUGCCAAGCCGCGAGGCGGAGCCAAUCCCAGAAAGCCGAUCGUAGUCCGGAUUGCAGGCUGCAACUCGCCUGCAUGAAGUCGGAAUCGCUAGUAAUCGUGGAUCAGCAUGUCACGGUGAAUACGUUCCCGGGUCUUGUACACACCGCCCGUCACACCAUGGGAGCGGGUUCCGCCAGAAGUAGGUAGCCUAACCGCAAGGGGGGCGCUUACCA